GACGAACGCUGGCGGCGUGCUUAACACAUGCAAGUCGAACGGAAAGGCCCUGCUUUUGUGGGGUGCUCGAGUGGCGAACGGGUGAGUAACACGUGAGUAACCUGCCCUUGACUUUGGUAUAACUUCAGGCAACUGGGGCUAAUACCGGAUAGGAGCUCCUGCUGAAUGGUGGGGGUUGGAAAGUUUCGGCGGUUGGGGAUGGACUCGCGGCUUAUCAGCUUGUUGGUGGGGUAGUGGCUUACCAAGGCUUUGACGGGUAGCCGGCCUGAGAGGGUGACCGGCCACAUUGGGACGGAGAUACGGCCCAGACUCCUACGGGAGGCAGCGGUGGGGAAUAUUGCACAAUGGGCGGAAGCCUGAUGCAGCAACGCCGCGUGGGGGAUGACGGCCUUCGGGUUGUAAACCGCUUUCGCCUGUGACGAAGCGUGAGUGACGGUAAUGGGUAAAGAAGCACCGGCUAACUACGUG
rnacentral:rRNA from 1 species